AUUGAACGCUGGCGGCAUGCCUUACACAUGCAAGUCGAACGGUAACGGGCCUUCGGGUGCCGACGGGUGGCGAACGGGUGAGUAAUACAUCGGAACGUGCCCGAUCGUGGGGGAUAACGAGGCGAAAGCUUUGCUAAUACCGCAUACGAUCUACGGAUGAAAGCAGGGGACCGCAAGGCCUUGCGCGGACGGAGCGGCCGAUGGCAGAUUAGGUAGUUGGUGGGAUAAAAGCUUACCAAGCCGACGAUCUGUAGCUGGUCUGAGAGGAUGAUCAGCCACACUGGCACUGAGACACGGCCCAGACUCCUACGGGAGGCAGCAGUGGGGAAUUUUGGACAAUGGGCGCAAGCCUGAUCCAGCCAUGCCGCGUGCAGGAUGAAGGCCUUCGGGUUGUAAACUGCUUUUGUACGGAACGAAAAGCCUUCUUUUAAUACAGGAGGGUCAUGACGGUACCGUAAGAAUAAGCACCGGCUAACUACGUG
rnacentral:rRNA from 1 species